ACGCCGGCGCGCCUGGGCUGCUGCCUCCAUGUCGCCGGUUAGCCUCGACUCUGGUGCCCUCGCGUUGCCGCCUGUACAUCACCGGCCGCCAACGCAACUCCGCUGCAGCCUUUGUGCACACUUCAAACUUGACAGCAUUAGCUCGGGAAAGAUGCCGCUCACAGCUGAAUAAGUAUGGACUGGUACACCAAGGUAUUGCUAGGCGGACCUUGCCGAAGAAAUCAAGUCAAAUAGCAGAUUUUAGAAGAAAAAGGGUUACUCAUAGGCCUCAUUUGCAAGAUUAGGAACUGUGGAAAAAGUACGAGUUAGAUACACAGAUGGAAAUGAUGCGCCGACAAAUACACCAAUCUUGUUUACUACAAAUUGGGAUGCUAAUGAUUCCGAAA